CACAACUCACUUGGCCUCACGCCAAAACAGAUAGGCAUCAUACACAAAACAUUUUGGCAAGACAACAUCAUUUAAAAUAAACAACGAACAUAUGUUCGAGUUUUUCAUAAAAUAUCACUUCAAAAAUAAUUUGCAUUUUUAUCCACAUUAGUAUGUAGGAUAGAAAAGUUCACCUUGUUUUUGCUUCCUAGGAUUUUCGUAAUUCUCUGUUUCUCAAAGUUAUCUUCCUGUAUGUUCUUCCUUUUUAGAAACAAAAUACAAGCUAAAUUUCAGCUUUAAGAAUAUAUAUAUAUAUAUAAUAACUUUAUGAUAUGCAUCUUAUUAUAUGGUUCUCCUUCUUUAAGCCUUACUCUUCUAUUAGGUUUUUAUGACUCUCUCUAGAAAUUCAUUUUCAAAUCAUUUCAUUAUAAUUCUGGGAUUUAAUUAGAAGUCUUAAACAACUAAUUAAAGAGAAAUUUUAUUUAUUUACUUCCAGAGAUUUUAUCUUCUAUCAAAAUAUUUUGGUCCUGCCAAAAUAAUUUAAAUUAGCCUAAACAAAGCAUGGAUCAAUUUAUAAAUCAAGAGCUAAAUGGGCCAAUUAAUAUAUAGAACUUAGCUCAAGAUGAAAUUAUCGGCAGUGGGCUAAAGGGAUACUUCUUACACUAAUUCAAAUUGAGAAGAAUUAAUUAAGAAUUAGCCCAAUUAUAUAUAUAUACUCCUUACGUCUCUUUCCCUUUCUCCCUCAACUCUCCCUCUAUUUCUUCUCCCCCUCGCCUCUCUCUCUCGAAUCUCGAAUCUGUCGCCGCCGCUGCACGGGCGGCGGUUCCCCGGCCUCCCCACGCCUCGCACUGCCAGAGCAGUUUCCCGACGCCCCGACGGCCGCUGCCUCAUCGCCGACUCCUGAGAGGUGGGUGAAAUCAGUGAUGCAUCGGGCUGUGGGGCUGCUACUGUCGUCGAUAGGGUGCCGAAGAUUAGUCGCCGGAGUCCCGACAGAUUUAUACUCUCGAGACAAGUUCUUAUUUUGUGAAGAAUUGCUAUUUGUUGUUUUGGUAGCUAAAGUGAAGAAUUGUUAUUCUUGAUCUACAUGCUUAUAUGCAAAUUUUGAGAAAAGAAAAGUGCUUGGAGUUUACCUUCAUUACGUGGGAAAAUGUGUUGUUGGAUUGUGGGACUUGACCCUGUAAUUGUUUGCAACUCUCCCCCUUUUCUUACUCCUUCUCUCUCCUUUGGAUGGUUGAAAGUUUUGGAGUGAGUUCCUAUUGUUUUGUAAGUGACGCUGGAAAAAGGAAAGCUCGUUCCCAUAUAUAUACAUUUACCUUGCCUAGCUUAGCUUGUACAUAUCUCUGAUUUGAUAUGCUUAGAUCUUUAGCAGGGAUUUAAUAUCUUACUUGGCAUAAUCUGCUCCCUCAAUCUCCUGAACAAAUCUUGCAAUGAGAUUAUGCAUUAAAUGUCUACUAUCCACUUGCACAUUACUUUAUCUCCUCAUAGUAUUUUAUUUGAUAGAGUAUGUGAAAGUGAUUGAGAGCAGAAGGAACUUUGUUUCUAUUUAUAGGCUAAAAUAAUUUAUGUUGCAUUCUUUCUAUGAAAUCUCUGAAAUUAGAUUCGUAUUGAAUGCAAAUACUGUAUAAGAUUGGUGAUAGAUAUGAAGAAGUUACCACGUAGUCCCACUUGCAAUUAUUAUAUCUAUUUCCUUAAGAUUUUAUUUGAUAUGGGAAUAAAUGAUCUCCUCAGUAAAUCUUAUGGAAAAUCUUCUCAAAGAUUAGCUUAGAUUUCUCAAUCUAUCUCACCGUAGAUUUUGAUCUUGGCAUUAAGUGCAAGAUCUUAUAUGAUUUCUACAAAUUUUCCCAUUUUACGCAGGAACAUACAUUGGCGGAUGUCGGUGACGUGUUGGACUUUGUUGGGAUGCUAGCAGUGUUGUCAAACGGGCUGCCCGAGACUUGCACAUCUUUCGCUUCCGAUCAUAAUAGGCUAGGCUUUAAUUAUAUUGUAAUAUUAGACUUGAUUCGUGUAUCGGGUAUUACGACUUUUACUUUGAAUUUAUUCUUUGGAUAGUCAUUGAAAAUAAUUGCUAAAUAGCACAAAAGUUUAUUAGAUGUCUCGUCUAUAUUUUCUUAACUCAAUGUAAGAUUCUUUCAUAUUUUAGUGCCGCUUUGAAAUAUCU